GGGCUACUCCUUCCGUUUCAAAUUACUCGUCGCAGAAAUAGAUGUAUCUAGAAUUAAAAUACAUCUAGAUACAUCUAUACCCGUGACAAGUAAUUUGGAACGGAGGGAGUAGGAU
rfam:Triticum aestivum genome assembly, contig: Triticum_aestivum_CS42_TGACv1_scaffold_307016_4AS